UACGGGGGGAGCAAGCGUUGUUCGGAUUUACUGGGCGUAAAGGGCGCGUAGGCGGCUUGAAAAGUCACUUGUGAAAUCUCCGGGCUUAACUCGGAACGGUCAAGUGAAACUUUCAGACUAGAGUGCAGAAGGGGCAAUCGGAAUUCUUGGUGUAGCGGUGAAAUGCGUAGAUAUCAAGAGGAACACCUGAGGUGAAGACGGGUUGCUGGGCUGACACUGACGCUGAGGCGCGAAAGCUAGGGGAGCAAACGGG
rnacentral:rRNA from 1 species